GAUGAACGCUGGCGGCGUGCCUAAUACAUGCAAGUCGAGCGAAAAGAUGAGGAGCUUGCUCCUCUGACGUUAGCGGCGGACGGGUGAGUAACACGUGGAUAACCUCCCUAUAAGUCUGGGAUAACUUCGGGAAACCGGAGAUAAUACCGGAUAAUAUAUUGAACCGCAUGGUUCAAUAGUGAAAGUCGGUUUUGCUGGCACUUCUAGAUGGAUACGGGCCGCAUUAGCUAGUUGGUACGGUAACGGCUUACCAAGGGAAGGAUGCGUAGGCGACCUGAGAGGGUGAUCGGCCACACUGGAAGUUAGACACGGUCCUGGCGCCUGCGGUAGGCAGCAGUAGGGAAUCUUCCGCAAUGGUCGAAAGCCUGGCGGAGCGACGCCGCGUGAGUGAUGAAGGUCUUCGGAGCGUAAAACUCUGUUAUGAGUGAAGAACAAAUGUGUAAGUAACUAUGCACGUCUUGACGGUACCUAGUCAGAAAGCCACGGCUAACUACGUG
rnacentral:rRNA from 1 species